UCAAUUUUGUACUUCAGGGAAAUCAAAUAAAAAGAGAUAAAACAAUUAAAACUGAAGCGCUUGGAAUGAAAAAUGAAAGUGACUGACGGCGACAAAGAGGGCGGGGAUUCUGAAUUCAUGAUGGUGGUGAUUCGCGUGAGAGAGCUUUCAUUUCGAAGGUGAUGAACGUUGGGAUAUUUUCAGCGGCGGCGACAACCUUCUCGGACGGGGUUCUCGCAGUGGUUGUAGGUUAUGUAUCUGCGAAGGUAUAGGUCAGAUGUGUGUUGGGUUUUGAUUUCAGUGGGCGUUUUAGUGGUGUCUUCACAGCAUGAACAGUUGUGCUGAAUGGUUAGGGAUUUGGACGGAUAAGCUCCAGUUGGUGGUGUGAUUCGCGGCGGCGAUGGUUGUUAAUGGGCGAUUUUAUUUUCUUCCCUUCCUUUGGUUCAAAUCUCUUAUGCUUCUUUUUUUCUUUUUUUCUUUUGGUGAUGUUGGUGUUCUAAAAAACUGUCUUGUAGGUUUGAGGUGGCUGAAAUGGAGAAACUGAUGGAAAGACAAAUGUUAUUAGAAAUAGAGCAUGCUAAAACGGAUGACAUAUGGAGUGUGAACAUUUCUGAAGAGAUGAAAGAUUCCCCUACAUUCUCAGAUGGUGUUUGUUGAAAUGUGUCUAUAGAUGAAGUGCCAAAAGAAGGAUUGUGAAUACAAGAUGGACUUGUUAGAAUUGAGGUUCUGCUAUUGAUAAGGGAAAGAGACUCCAAUAUCUGUUCAAAUGAGAUGUAAGCUCGCCUGGUGAAGAAUAGAAUAUAUAAAUGAUGAGGAGAUUUCUAUCAAUGUGCUAUUUCAUUGGCAUGGUCAAUAUGAACUAUUAGAGACCUUAUGACCAAAAUUGUCUAAAAAAUAAUACACAUUUAGUGCAGUACAUAACUUGGUUUCUUUGUCAAUUGGUGAUUUCUUAAUCUAGUUUUUUCCCCAACUAUAAUUUAAUCUGCAGAGAACUUCAAACCAAUUAAAGCAACAUGCUUUUGCAAUGUGUACUUU